GGCGAACGCUGGCGGCGUGCUUAACACAUGCAAGUCGAACGGUGAAGCGCCUUCCUUUUUGGUGGGUGUGGAUGAGUGGCGAACGGGUGAGUAACACGUGAGUAACCUGCCCCCUUCUUCUGGAUAACCGCAUGAAAGUGUGGCUAAUACGGGAUAUUCUGGGUCUGUCGCAUGAUGGGUCUGGGAAAGAUAUUGUUUCGGUGGGGGAUGGGCUCGCGGCCUAUCAGCUUGUUGGUGGGGUGAUGGCCUACCAAGGCGGUGACGGGUAGCCGGCCUGAGAGGGUGGACGGUCACACUGGGACUGAGACACGGCCCAGACUCCUACGGGAGGCAGCAGGGGGGAAUAUUGCACAAUGGGCGCAAGCCUGAUGCAGCGACGCCGCGUGAGGGAUGGAGGCCUUCGGGUUGUGAACCUCUUUCGCCAGUGAAGCAGGCCUGCCUCGUUUGUGGGUGGGUUGACGGUAGCUGGAUAAGAAGCGCCGGCUAACUACGUG
rnacentral:rRNA from 1 species